AGGACAUUGUAAACGAGAAGAACCCUACACUGAAGUACACUGUCCAGCAGCAAAUUGGCCAUGGGCUUUUUGGAGUGGUUUUUCAAGGAGUUGACAUUGCCACAGGAGGACAGGUGGCCAUAAAGAAGAUUUUUCUCCGAGACAGAAAGAACACAAUGGAACGACUUGUAACUGAGGUGUCAGUCUUGAAGAGCAUGAGACACCCCAAUAUUGUUGAC